CAGAUUCACUUGGACGUGACAUGACUUUCCUCGUCGGUACGGUAAAGACCAUGGUGGAUCUACAGAAGAGACAGGAAAGUUCGUCUCAGAAAAUGGAUCAAAAGAUUUCGAAUAUCAUAGGCUCGCUGAGCAAUCUCAAGUUUAUGAUUGAAAAACACGUGAAUGAUCAACGCAACUGCUUUCCACCACCACCUCCCCAUCACAGGAGACACCGCCCUCCUCCCCCACCUGAUGGUCACAGAAGACACCCUCCUCCCCCACCUCAUGGUCGCAGAAGACACCCCCUCCACCCCCACCUGAUGGUCACAGAAGACACCCCCUCCACCCCCACCUGAUGGUCACAGGGGACGCCCCCUCCUCCACGCCAUGACUACAGACACCGCCCUCCUCCUCCUCCUCCUCCUCCCCCUCCUCCCCUGCCCCUGUCACGUCUGGACCUAUCCUUGUCCAACCUCCACAGGAAAGUGACCCUCCGAUUGAUACCCCUCCUCCUGAGAAACAAGCAGAUGAAAGUUCCAGAUCAUGGGGGUUGAUCUGACCUAGGAACCACCUGCCUCUUCAUCAGUGAGCAAAAAUGAGUCACACCAUGAAAUAAAUAAUAAGGAAUUA